UACGGAGGGGGCUAGCGUUGUUCGGAAUUACUGGGCGUAAAGCGCACGUAGGCGGCUUGGUAAGUUAGAGGUGAAAGCCUGGAGCUCAACUCCAGAAUUGCCUUUAAGACUGCCGAGCUAGCAGGUGAGAGAGGUGAGUGGAAUUCCGAGUGUAGAGGUGAAAUUCGUAGAUAUUCGGAAGAACACCAGUGGCGAAGGCGGCUCACUGGCCCGGUACUGACGCUGAGGUGCGAAAGCGUGGGGAGCAAACAGG
rnacentral:rRNA from 1 species